UCCCCAAUGGCAUUUCUUUGCUAUAGGGGCUGGAUGGGCUUGGAUCAUCAUCCUGACAAUAAUUGUGAUAGCGCUGGGGGCUUGGGUUUCCCAGUUGUAUAGCUGUUGUGAAGGACAGUGCAGAGGAGAUCUGAAUACAUCCGAGAAGAGUGAAACCAGAAUUGUCAAUUGCAUUGAAGGCAGCUCCGGCCUGGAGGAUUUCCGGUCUCACUUGAAAUCAAUUCUAUGUGAACCUCAACAUGGCAGCUCAGCAGGGGGUGCCGGGUGCAAACUCUGCCCCACGGGUUGGCCGCUGCACGGGGACAAGUGCUACUGGCUGUCAAAACAGGCUAAUAACUG